rnacentral:sRNA from 1 species
ACCUGCUUCAUGGAUAUAAUACUCAGGAUUGGCGAAAGGACGCACUGCUGUGUGUACUGGAGGAUCUGUCUGAUGUCGGGCAGAUCCUGUUUUUUUAU